rnacentral:lncRNA from 1 species
UCCUAUUGACUUGAUUGAUCAGUCUUCUUCCCUGAACCUUCUGCCUGAGGAGAUUCUGCAACAUCGAACCAUUACCAAGGGCCAACAUCAACUUUCACAAUGCCUUGUCAAAUGGGUGGGCUUACCAGUUUCGGAUGCCACUUGGGAAGAUACUUCAUUGCUACAGCGUCAGUUUCCCAGCUUGAACCUUGAGGACAAGGUUCCUCUUCAAGGGGUAGGCAAUGUUGUGAACCAAGGUAUUGGACCAGCUGCACUUGAUAUUGGGCUAAAGAGAAGCUCCAGGCGCGUGAACUCUCCAAAAUAUUUCAAGGACUUUGUGGUCCCCAAAGCCAAUGGAUAAGAGAGGGCACCUGCAAUGCUGUUAUGCGAGGACAACUGUGAGCACUAUUGGAGAAAUAUUCCCAACAGACAUUAGUAUAAGUAGUAGUAGGUUUCCCUAAUUAGGCAGAAAAUAUGCCGAGUCUUUUUGUUUGUUUUUGCUAAGGAGCAGUCUGGAACCUUCCCCCUUCUUCAUUUUUCCUUUCUUUUAGUGUUUAUCUUACUUUUUGAGUCCAUUGUAAGUAGAGUUGCUAAGUUUGAGAUUGAAUCAAAGAAGUUUCC